rnacentral:rRNA from 1 species
GACGAACGCUGGCGGCGUGCUUAACACAUGCAAGUCGAGCGGUAAGGCCCUUUCGGGGGUACACGAGCGGCGAACGGGUGAGUAACACGUGGGUGACCUGCUCUCAGCUCUGGGAUAAGCCUGGGAAACCGGGUCUAAUACUGGAUAUGACUCCAUGACGCAUGUUGUGGGGUGGAAAGCCUUGUGCGGCUGAGGAUGGGCCCGCGGCCUAUCAGCUUGUUGGUGGGGGAUGGCCUACCAAGGCGACGACGGGUAGCCGGCCUGAGAGGGCGACCGGCCACACUGGGACUGAGAC